rnacentral:rRNA from 1 species
AUUGAACGCUGGCGGCAGGCCUAACACAUGCAAGUCGAACGAGUGGCGGACGGGUGAGUAAUGUCUGGGAAACUGCCUGAUGGAGGGGGAUAACUACUGGAAACGGUCGCUAAUACCGCAUACCAUCGGAUGUGCCCAGAGGGGAUUAGCUAGUAGGUGGGGUAAAGGCUAACCUAGGCGACGAUCCCUAGCUGGUCUGAGAGGAUGAGCAUCCACACGGGAACGGAGACAUGGUCCAGACUCCUACGGGAGGCAGCAGUGGGGAAGAUUGGACAAUGGGCGCAAGCCUGAUGCAGCCAUGCCGCGUGUAUGAAGAAGGCCUUCGGGUUGUAAAGUACUUUCAGCGGGGAGGCGGUACCCGCAGAAGAAGCACCGGCUAACUCCGUGCCAGCAGCCGCGGUAAUUC